rnacentral:rRNA from 1 species
GACGAACGCUGGCGGCGUGCUUAACACAUGCAAGUCGAACGGAAAGGCCUUUUCGGAGGUACUCGAGUGGCGAACGGGUGAGUAACACGUGGGUGAUCUGCCCUGCACUCUGGGAUAAGCCUGGGAAACUGGGUCUAAUACCGGAUAGGACCGCACUUUAGUGUGUGGGGGGGAAAGUUUUUUCGGUGUAGGAUGAGCCCGCGGCCUAUCAGCUUGUUGGUGGGGUAAUGGCCUACCAAGGCGGCGACGGGUAGCCGGACUGAGAGGUUGGUCGGCCACAUUGGGACUGAGAUACGGCCCAGACUCCUACGGGAGGCAGCGGUGGGGAAUAUUGCACAAUGGGGGCAAGCCUGAUGCAGCGACGCCGCGUGGGGGAUGACGGCCUUCGGGUUGUAAACUCCUUUCGCCAGGGACGAAGCGUUUUGUGACGGUACCUGGAGAAGAAGCACCGGCUAACUACGUG